rnacentral:rRNA from 1 species
GACGGAGGAUGCAAGCGUUAUCCGGAAUGAUUGGGCGUAAAGCGUCCGCAGGUGGCAGUUCAAGUCUGCUGUCAAAGACCGGGGCUUAACUUCGGAAAGGCAGUGGAAACUGAACAGCUAGAGUAUGGUAGGGGCAGAGGGAAUUCCUGGUGUAGCGGUGAAAUGCGUAGAGAUCAGGAAGAACAUCGGUGGCGAAGGCGCUCUGCUGGACCAUAACUGAC